AAAAAGCUCGUAGUUGGAUCUCAGUUCGGGAAGGGUGGUCCUCCUACCGGAGGUCACUGCCUUUUCCCAACACCGGCCGGUUUCCCUGGAUGAUCUUCACCGGUUGUCUUGGGUGACCGGCAAGUUUACUUUGAAAAAAUUAGAGUGCUCAAAGCAGGCGUGACGCCUGAAUAAUGUUGCAUGGAAUAAUGGAAUAGGACCUCGGUUCUAUUUUGUUGGUUUUCGGAACACGAGGUAAUGAUUAAGAGGGACAGACGGGGGCAUUCGUAUUGCGACGCUAGAGGUGAAAUUCUUGGACCGUCGCAAGACGAACUACUGCGAAAGCAUUUGCCAAGAAUGUUUCCAUUAAUCAAGAACGAAAGUUAGAGGUUCGAAGGCGAUCAGAUACCGCCCUAGUUCUAACCAUAAACGAUGCCAGCCAGCGAUCCGGCUGUGUUCCUCAAAUGACACGCCGGGCAGCUUCCGGGAAACCAAAGCUUUUGGGUUCCGGGGGUAGUAUGGUUGCAAAGCUGAAACUUAAAGGAAUUGACGGAAGGGCACCACCAGCCAUGGAGCAUGCGGCUAAAUUUGACUCAACACGGGGAAUCUUACCCGGUCCGGACACAGGAAGGAUUGACAGAUUGAGAGCUCUUUCUUGAUUCUGUGGAAGGUGGUGCAUGGCCGCUCUUAGUUCGUGGAGCGAUUUGUCUGGUUUAUUCCGAUAACGAGCGAGACUCUAGCCUACUAAAUAGACGUUCCGAUUCUUCUAGGUCGGACGCUCUUCUUAGGGGGAUAAGCGGCGUCCAGCCGCUAGAGACAGAGCCAUAGCAGGUCUGUGAUGCCCUCAGAUGUCCGGGGCCGCACGCGUGCUACAAUGAAGGAAUCAGCGUGUGCUUUCCCCGUCCGAAAGGAUUGGGUAACCCGUUGAACCUCCUUCGUGCUUGGGAUAGGGGAUUGUAAUUAUUCCCCUUGAACGAGGAAUGCCCAGUAAGCACGAGUCAUCAGCUCGUGUUGAUUACGUCCCUGCCCUUUGUACACACCGCCCGUCGCCACUACCGAUUGAAUGAUUUAGUGAGGUCCUCGGACCGGCGCUCGGAUCGGCCUACGGUCUAGCCGACGUGCCAGAAAGAUGACCGAACUUGACCAUUUAGAGGAAGUGAAAGUCGUAACAAGGUUUCC
rnacentral:rRNA from 1 species